rnacentral:rRNA from 1 species
AACGAACGCUGGCGGCAUGCCUAACACAUGCAAGUCGAACGAGACCUUCGGGUCUAGUGGCGCACGUGUGCGUAACGCGUGGGAACCUGCCCUUAGGUUCGGAAUAACUCCCCGAAAGGGGUGCUAAUACCGGAUAAUGUCUUCGGACCAAAGAUUUAUCGCCUUUGGAUGGGCCCGCGUUGGAUUAGCUAGUUGGUAGGGUAAAAGCAUACCAAGGCGACGAUCCAGAGCUGGUCUGAGAGGAUGAUCAUCCACACUGGGACUGAGACACGGCCAAGAAUCGUACGGGAGGGAGGAGUGGGGAAUAUUGGACAAGGGGCGAAAGCCUGAUAAAGCAAUGCGGGGUGAGUGAUGAAGGCCGUAGGGUUGUAAAGCUCUUUUAGACGGGAUGAUAAUGACAGUAACGGGAGAAUAAGCACCGGCUAACUACGUG